GGGAUUAGCAGAUACAAACUAUCAUAUAUAGAAUGGAUAAACAACAAGGUCCCACUGUACAACACAGGGAACUAUAGUCAACAUCCUGUAAUAAAACCAUAAAGGCAAAGAAAAAUACAUAAAUAAAAUGGUCUCUUCUCAAUGUACACUAGUAUCGGACCAUUUAUGCAUUCUCUUUUUUUGCUUCUUACAGGCUAUCCAGAUCCUGAAUGGAGCAAUAAUUCUGUCUCUGGGUGUUUUUAUGGGUUCCUUACAAAACCUGCCCCAUCCAUCCAAUUACAUAUUUUUCUUGAUCGUUUAUACAGGCUAUCAGAUAUGGAGCGCUAUAUCUUUUAUUGUUUCAGGAACCUUAUCUGUCGUAGUUGGGAAAAAAACCCAUAAAAACACUGGUAAGUGGAAGUUCUUCUUUUUCUAUGGUCACAGGAGUAGAAAUAAGUCAUCCAUUAACAGUAAGAGAGUUGAGGUUGGUGAAUCCAGCUGAGACCCUGAGUGUCAUUUAAUGUGCAAGAAAAUUAAUUUUCUUUUCCUAAGGCAUUCAGGUGGUAGAUCUUCAGAAAGUCAUAUAGAUUGUGAAUAUGAUUACUGGGAUGAUUACUACGAUUAUCUGGUGAAUCUGAAGCUUAGAAAAAGGCUUUUUGAUAUUUGUGUGUUCUUAAAGUUAACUAAUUCUAAUUAUUUUGAGGGGGCACUCUCCUGCCAUUAGUUUCACAGCUGAAAGCUAAGUAGUCUAUAUUUUUAGUGCUCAUUAAACACUUAGUAAGUCUCUAUUACGUGUUCCCACUCAACCACCUGCCCAUUUAUACUACUUUUCUAGCUCAUUCACAUUUCUACUCUAUCCUCAAAUGCCAAUGCCUUUUUUCUCAUCUCUACUCUCUGUUGAUUCCCUUGCUUCCUAUUCCGAGAAACUCAAGCCAUUGGAGGAGAUAUUUCAGACCCCCACUAUAACUACUUCAUGGGCCAGAUCUGUACCGAUAUAUUUUUUUCAUUCUAACCUCUUACCGUAGGUGAUUCCUCUAUGAUUUUCUUCAAACCCCCACCCCUUCUGGAAUACUAGAUUCUGUUUCUUUUUCUCCAUGCAAGUGCAUCACUCCAAUUCUCUUCCUACUAGAUCUUUUUAAUCAGCCCAUAAGCAUCCAAUAACUGCUAAGAAAAAAAAAAAUCUUGACCUUAUUUUCUGCUGCAAGCUACAGUCACAAUUCAUUUUCCCUCCUGUAGCUAAACUCCUUAAAGGAAUGCUCUACACUCUAUCUCCAAUUCCUAUCUACCCAGUUUCAACUAAACCCACUGCAAUAAGGCUUCAUUUUCUUCCCCAUCACACUUCUGUAACUGCUCCCUUUAAGAUCACUGAACACUUCCACGUUGGUAACACAGAGCUCAAUUCUCAGUCUUCAUCUAAUUGACCCAUUAGCAGCACUGGUCUCUCGCUCCUCCUUCCAAUAAUUUCUUCACUUGGAUUCCAGGAAAACUUGAUUAGCCGCUUUUCCUCCUGUCUUCUUCUUUCCUCCUUCUCAAUCUCCUUUCCUAGAUCCUUUUCUUUUCUUUUUUUUUUUUGCGGUACGUGAGCCUCUCACUGUUGUGGCCUCUCCCGCUGCGGAGCACAGGCUCCGGACGCACAGGCUCAGGGGCCAUGGCUCACGGGCCCAGCCGCUCCGCGGCAUGUGGGAUCUUCCCGGACCGGGGCACGAACCCGUGUCCCCUGCAUCGGCAGGCGGACUCUCAACCACUGCGCCACCAGGGAAGCCCUAAAACUCCAAUUUUUAAAAUGAUUAUUUUAUAGGUUGCAAUGUGCUUCUACUUAUCUUUCCUUCAUUGAGUCUUACCAAAGUCCUUCUGUCAAGCCCAGGUUUUAUCUUGGGUAGGCUGCGGACAGGGAAGCAGUAUAGUGUGGUUUAGAAUAGUUGGAAUCCUGAAAUCAAUAUUUUGACAUUGCUUAGGGAGGGGAUAUUUUAGAAAUAUCUCAGAAAGAAAAAAAAAUACAUUACUCAUAAUCUGAUUGUGACAAAAAUGUAAGAGCUAAAAAAAUACAGAGGAAAAAAUAAAA